AUACGUAGGGUGCAAGCGUUAAUCGGAAUUACUGGGCGUAAAGCGUGCGCAGGCGGUUUUGGAAGAACGAGGUGAAAUACCCGGGCUCAAACUGGGAACUGCCUUUGGGACUGGAAGGCUAGAGUACGGCAGAGGGGGAUGGAAUUCCGCGGUGAGUAGUGGAAUGCGUAGAUAUGCGGAGGAACACCGAUGGCGAAGGCAAUCCCCUGGGCCUGUACUGGCGCUCAUGCACGAAAGCGUGGGGAGCAAACCGGAUUAAAUACCCCGGUAGUCCCCGCCCGAAACGAUGUCAACUGGGUGUUGGGUCUUCAUUGACUCAAUAACCAAGCUAACGCCUGAAGUUUGCCGCCUGGGGAGUACGGCCGCAAGGUUGAAACUCAAAGGAAUCGACGGGG
rnacentral:rRNA from 1 species